AUUGAACGCUGGCGGCAGGCCUAACACAUGCAAGUCGGGCGCGCGGCGGACGGGUGAGUAAUGUAUGGGGACUGCCUGAUGUCCGGGGAUCACUACUGGACACGGUAGCUACUACCGCAUACCAUCAUAUAACCCAUAUUGGAUUAGCUAGGAGGUAAGGUAACGGCGUACCUAGGCGACGAUCCCUAGCGGGUCUGAGAGGCUGAUCAGCCACACGGGGACGGAGAAACGGCCCAGACUCCUACGGAGGCAGCAGUGGGGAAGAUUGCACAAGGGGCGCAAGCCUGAUGCAGCCAGGCAGCGUGUAUGAAGAAGGCCGUCGGGUUGUAAAGUACUUUCAGUCGGGAGGCGGUACCGACAGAAGAAGCACCGGCUAACUCCGUGCCAGCAGCCGCGGUAAUUC
rnacentral:rRNA from 1 species